rnacentral:rRNA from 1 species
ACAGCCGGCGAUGUCCGAAUGGGGAAACCCAGUGCAAUUCGUUGCACUAUCGUUAACUGAAUACAUAGGUUAACGAGGCGAACCGGGGGAACUGAAACAUCUAAGUACCCCGAGGAAAAGAAAUCAACCGAGAUUCCCCCAGUAGCGGCGAGCGAACGGGGAGCAGCCCAGAGUCUGAAUCAGCUUGUGUGUUAGUGGAACGGUCUGGAAAGUCCGACGGUACAGGGUGAUAGUCCCGUACACCAAAAUGCACAGGUUGUGAACUCGAAGAGUAGGGCGGGACACGUGGUAUCCUGUCUGAAUAUGGGGGGACCAUCCUCCAAGGCUAAAUACUCCUGACUGACCGAUAGUGAACCAGUACCGUGAGGGAAAGGCGAAAAGAACCCCGGCGAGGGGAGUGAAAAAGAACCUGAAACCGUGUACGUACAAGCAGUGGGAGCACCUUCGGGUGUGACUGCGUACCUUUUGUAUAAUGGGUCAGCGACUUAUAUUCUGUAGCAAGGUUAACCGUAUAGGGGAGCCGCAGGGAAACCGAGUCUUAACUGGGCGUUAAGUUGCAGGGUAUAGACCCGAAACCCGGUGAUCUAGCCAUGGGCAGGUUGAAGGUUGGGUAACACUAACUGGAGGACCGAACCGACUAAUGUUGAAAAAUUAGCGGAUGACUUGUGGCUGGGGGUGAAAGGCCAAUCAAACCGGGAGAUAGCUGGUUCUCCCCGAAAGCUAUUUAGGUAGCGCCUCGUGAACUCAUCUUCGGGGGUAGAGCACUGUUUCGGCUAGGGGGUCAUCCCGACUUACCAACCCGAUGCAAACUACGAAUACCGAAGAAUGUUAUCACGGGAGACACACGGCGGGUGCUAACGUCCGUCGUGAAGAGGGAAACAACCCAGACCGCCAGCUAAGGUCCCAAAGUCAUGGUUAAGUGGGAAACGAUGUGGGAAGGCACAGACAGCCAGGAUGUUGGCUUAGAAGCAGCCAUCAUUUAAAGAAAGCGUAAUAGCUCACUGGUCGAGUCGGCCUGCGCGGAAGAUGUAACGGGGCUAAACCAUGCACCGAAGCUGCGGCAGCGACACUAUGUGUUGUUGGGUAGGGGAGCGUUCUGUAAGCCUGCGAAGGUGUGCUGUGAGGCAUGCUGGAGGUAUCAGAAGUGCGAAUGCUGACAUAAGUAACGAUAAAGCGGGUGAAAAGCCCGCUCGCCGGAAGACCAAGGGUUCCUGUCCAACGUUAAUCGGGGCAGGGUGAGUCGACCCCUAAGGCGAGGCCGAAAGGCGUAGUCGAUGGGAAACAGGUUAAUAUUCCUGUACUUGGUGUUACUGCGAAGGGGGGACGGAGAAGGCUAUGUUAGCCGGGCGACGGUUGUCCCGGUUUAAGCAUGUAGGCUGAUUGUCCAGGCAAAUCCGGAUAAUCAAGGCUGAGGUGUGAUGACGAGGCACUACGGUGCUGAAGUAACAAAUGCCCUGCUUCCAGGAAAAGCCUCUAAGCAUCAGGUAACAUUAAAUCGUACCCCAAACCGACACAGGUGGUCAGGUAGAGAAUACCAAGGCGCUUGAGAGAACUCGGGUGAAGGAACUAGGCAAAAUGGUGCCGUAACUUCGGGAGAAGGCACGCUGGUGUGUAGGUGAAGUCCCUGCGGAUGGAGCUGAGACCAGUCGAAGAUACCAGCUGGCUGCAACUGUUUAUUAAAAACACAGCACUGUGCAAACACGAAAGUGGACGUAUACGGUGUGACGCCUGCCCGGUGCCGGAAGGUUAAUUGAUGGGGUUAUCCGUAAGGAGAAGCUCUUGAUCGAAGCCCCGGUAAACGGCGGCCGUAACUAUAACGGUCCUAAGGUAGCGAAAUUCCUUGUCGGGUAAGUUCCGACCUGCACGAAUGGCGUAAUGAUGGCCAGGCUGUCUCCACCCGAGACUCAGUGAAAUUGAACUCGCUGUGAAGAUGCAGUGUACCCGCGGCAAGACGGAAAGACCCCGUGAACCUUUACUAUAGCUUGACACUGAACAUUGAGCCUUGAUGUGUAGGAUAGGUGGGAGGCUUUGAAGCGUGGACGCCAGUCUGCGUGGAGCCAACCUUGAAAUACCACCCUUUAAUGUUUGAUGUUCUAACGUUGGCCCCUUACCGGGGUUGCGGACAGUGUCUGGUGGGUAGUUUGACUGGGGCGGUCUCCUCCCAAAGCGUAACGGAGGAGCACGAAGGUUAGCUAAUCCUGGUCGGACAUCAGGAGGUUAGUGCAAUGGCAUAAGCUAGCUUGACUGCGAGCGUGACGGCGCGAGCAGGUGCGAAAGCAGGUCAUAGUGAUCCGGUGGUUCUGAAUGGAAGGGCCAUCGCUCAACGGAUAAAAGGUACUCCGGGGAUAACAGGCUGAUACCGCCCAAGAGUUCAUAUCGACGGCGGUGUUUGGCACCUCGAUGUCGGCUCAUCACAUCCUGGGGCUGAAGUAGGUCCCAAGGGUAUGGCUGUUCGCCAUUUAAAGUGGUACGCGAGCUGGGUUUAGAACGUCGUGAGACAGUUCGGUCCCUAUCUGCCGUGGGCGCUGGAGAAUUGAGGGGGGCUGCUCCUAGUACGAGAGGACCGGAGUGGACGCAUCACUGGUGUUCGGGUUGUCAUGCCAAUGGCACUGCCCGGUAGCUAAAUGCGGAAGAGAUAAGUGCUGAAAGCAUCUAAGCACGAAACUUGCCCCGAGAUGAGUUCUCCCUGAGACUUUAAGUCUCCUGAAGGAACGUUGAAGACGACGACGUUGAUAGGCCGGGUGUGUAAGCGCAGCGAUGCGUUGAGCUAACCGGUACUAAUGAACCGUGAGGCUUAACCUU